CGUGCAUCCUCCGGCUCCGGCGAGGCUCCGAUCCACUACGCGGCUCUGCAGCUCGCUCGUGUAUGGAGGGGCUAGUCGUAAGGUGUUUGGCUGAAUGCGCAGCACAAGGAUGCGAAGCGGCACAAAUCCUCACCUGCCCGUCGAUUUGGUGCUAGCAGCGGCGCAAAUCCUCACCUGGCCGUCGAUCCGCCGCCGUUGUGAGGGUAGUGCACGAGGAGCAAAAUUCCAUGUUGGCAGGAGGAGAGCAGGGAAGAGCAAAAUCUCACCUUUCUUUUUCCGGCGGAGAUGAGGCGACGCCUUCAUAGUCCAGGUACUCCUCAUCAAGGGGGGAUGGUGGUCUCUGCUGUGCAGGGGAGGUUGGCCAGAAACAAGCCGCUGACCAAAUCUCUCUCUC